GUUAUCAACUCACUAUUAUACGACUAUGGGCAUUAUUUCCCACCCUUAAAAAUCAUUGACACAGGAAAUAAUAACACAAUUACCUCCCUUGUUUUCCUAUUGCCUCCAUGCAUUAGCUAUCUUCAAAUGUUGGAAUUCGAAAAUGAUAAUUUUGCCAAUUUCGCAGCUGGCAAUAGUGAAUUAUAGGAUUAAUAGGAUUAUUCUUUAACAAGGUAGGACUGUGUAUGGAUACCAUCUAUUUUAAGGCUUUAUUUUAAUAAAUUUUAAAAAUAUAACUUAACAAAUAUGAAAUUGUAGCUUUAAGAUCUAGUCUUGUCCCAUUGAUCAAAAUUUUGAAAUGUUCAGUUUGCUUGUUACUCUUCUUUUGUUUUUAGGGGUGGUUGAGUGGUCCAAGCUCAUAAGAUCUUUCAUUGAGUCAAACCUCCUGGGUGUCAGUCCAAAAAUGUUGGUUUGUUUUGUGUGAGUGUUAAUCCCCAUUUCUCUCUUUUUUUACUUUAAGAUGUCAGAUGAAGAUACAGAAGGAAGAUGUUGGAACCGAACCUGCAGUGUCUCUUAGUAAGAUAGGCUCUAGAAAUUUUGCAGCAGCUGAUAUCUUGUUUAAGCUCUACGAAACACAACCAGUCAUAGAGGUUUCUGCUUACACUAAACCUGAUCAAGCGAUAGAAUCUGUCAGUUUUGAUACGUUGCUUAAAGAAGCGGAGGUGUUGAAGAAAGCUGCCGAGGAUGCAGGAGAAAACGUUACAGCUACUACAGCUGAGGGAACUGAUUCAGAAACUGAGACCAGUGACACAGAUGUUGAAAUGAAGGAAGAAGUAACAGAUUCACAGGCUAAGAAGAAAUAUCCUAGAAAACCACAUUACCGUCAUGCUGAUAGAUUUAUUUUAAAAGCUGCCCAGGCACGACUAGACGAAUUCAUAAAAGUUAAAAUGCUAAAAGAUCUACUGUUUGGACCUGCUUUCCCUCAUCAUAUCACACGCCAGAUUAACGGCUUACUGUAUAACCUCCCCGUUCCAGUUCGCUUUAUAAAUCAUUCCACUAGAAAUCAGAUGUACACCAUUGUAACGCAAAGUAUGUCACCGAUCAAAAUUGUCGCAUUUCUCAAAGCCAACGGUGGACAGUCUGGUCGCUUUCGUUAAGUCGACAAAUCAGAACUUCCGAUACAUAAGGACAUUUUACCAGAACUUAAAAGUAGGGAAAUUUUAACUAAGAUCAAAUCCAAAUUUUAGUAGAAAUUUCAAUUUUGAUUGGCUAAGCACUAAAACCAAUCAAAUUGUUGGCUUUUUUUUGCUAAUAAAUAUAAGUGCUAGUCUAA